ACACAUGCAAGUCGAACGAGAGAUGAGGAGCUUGCUCUUCAAAUCGAGUGGCGAACGGGUGAGUAACGCGUGAGGAACCUGCCUCAAAGAGGGGGACAACAGUUGGAAACGACUGCUAAUACCGCAUAAGCCCACGGCUCGGCAUCGAGCAGAGGGAAAAGGAGCAAUCCGCUUUGAGAUGGCCUCGCGUCCGAUUAGCUAGUUGGUGAGGUAACGGCCCACCAAGGCGACGAUCGGUAGCCGGACUGAGAGGUUGAACGGCCACAUUGGGACUGAGGCACGGCCCAGACUCCUACGGGAGGCAGCAGUGGGGAAUAUUGCACAAUGGGGGAAACCCUGAUGCAGCGACGCCGCGUGGAGGAAGAAGGUCUUCGGAUUGUAAACUCCUGUUGUUGAGGAAGAUAAUGACGGUACUCAACAAGGAAGUGACGGCUAACUACGUGCCAGCAGCCGCGGUAAAACGUAGGUCACAAGCGUUGUCCGGAAUUACUGGGUGUAAAGGGAGCGCAGGCGGGAGAACAAGUUGGAAGUGAAAUCCAUGGGCUCAACCCAUGAACUGCUUUCAAAACUGUUUUUCUUGAGUAGUGCAGAGGUAGGCGGAAUUCCCGGUGUAGCGGUGGAAUGCGUAGAUAUCGGGAGGAACACCAGUGGCGAAGGCGGCCUACUGGGCACCAACUGACGCUGAGGCUCGAAAGUGUGGGUAGCAAACAGGAUUAGAUACCCUGGUAGUCCACACCGUAAACGAUGAUUACUAGGUGUUGGAGGAUUGACCCCUUCAGUGCCGCAGUUAACACAAUAAGUAAUCCACCUGGGGAGUACGACCGCAAGGU
rnacentral:rRNA from 1 species